UGAACGCUAGCGACAGGCCUAACACAUGCAAGUCGAGGGGCGAGCGACAAGGAGCAAUCUGAGGUGGCGACCGGCGCACGGGUGAGUAACACGUAUGCAACCUGCCUGUAAGCGGGGAAUAACCCGUUGAAAGACGGACUAAUACCGCAUAAUACUAAAUUACUGCAUGGUAAUUAUUUAAACAUUUAUGGCUUACAGAUGGGCAUGCGCAUGAUUAGCUAGUUGGAGAGGUAACGGCUCCCCAAGGCAACGAUCAUUAGGGGUUCUGAGAGGAAGGUCCCCCACACUGGUACUGAGACACGGACCAGACUCCUACGGGAGGCAGCAGUGAGGAAUAUUGGUCAAUGGACGAGAGUCUGAACCAGCCAAGUCGCGUGCAGGAAGAAUGUCCUUAAUGGAUUGUAAACUGCUUUUGCAGGGGAAUAAAGUGCAUCACGUGUGAUGUUUUGUAUGUACUCUGCGAAUAAGGAUCGGCUAACUCCGUGCCAGCCGCAGC
rnacentral:rRNA from 1 species